UACGUAGGGAGCAAGCGUUGUUCGGAUUUACUGGGCGUAAAGGGCGCGUAGGCGGCAUGACAAGUCACUUGUGAAAUCUCCGGGCUUAACCCGGAAAGGUCAGCCGAUACUGCGGGGCUAGAGUGCAGAAGGGGCAACUGGAAUUCUCGGUGUAGCGGUGAAAUGCGUAGAUAUCGAGAGGAACACCUGCGGCGAAGGCGGGUUGCUGGGCUGACACUGACGCUGAUGCGCGAAAGCUAGGGGAGCGAACGGG
rnacentral:rRNA from 1 species